UGAGCUAUCAUUGUCUUUGUCACGGUUGAUCCGGCUAGCCAAAUCUUCUUCUGUCUCCCAAGUAGGUGUAAUUUAGAGUCAUCAUUAACUAAUGAUAUGUACAGCAAAAUAUCAUCUGCAAAUAACGAUAUUGAGUUGUUAUUGGAUUUAAUCUGGACAUUACAUGUUUUAUUUUGCCUUAUGGCCUGGGCUAACGGUUCAAGAGAGAUCGCAAAUAGCAUGGGAGAUAGCGGGCAUCCCUGUCUCGAGCCCCGCGCGAUGGGGAAUAGCUGUGAAUGCAGGCCAUUGGUUGAGACUAUGGCCGUGAGAUUCGCAUAUAAAGUAUGUACCAUGUCAAUGAAUUUGGCUCCCAAACCAAGCCUCUUCAUUA